rnacentral:rRNA from 1 species
UACGUAGGGUGCGAGCGUUGUCCGGAAUUAUUGGGCGUAAAGAGCUCGUAGGCGGUGUGUCGCGUCGGCCGUGAAAACCUGCAGCUUAACUGUGGGCUUGCGGUCGAUACGGGCAUCACUGGAGUUCGGCAGGGGAGACUGGAAUUCCUGGUGUAGCGGUGAAAUGCGCAGAUAUCAGGAGGAACACCGGUGGCGAAGGCGGGUCUCUGGGCCGAUACUGACGCUGAGGAGCGAAAGCGUGGGGAGCGAACACG